CCACAGUGAGUCUCCACUCAGGAAAAGAGACUGCAGCCAAUGUGGCAGCGAUCAAUCACAGCAGUCAACAACCGCCACUCUGUCAAGCUAAUUUUCAACUAAUCCAUUCAUCCUCAACAUCUUCCAGCUGCAUGAUCAAGAAGCCAUGGACACGGGGUGGCUUAAUGCUGUGUUCAAACCUGGGUCCUCAAAGGGAUGGACAUUUUCUUCAUCUUCUCCUUCCUCUCCUCGUCCCCCUCCUCCUCACACACGUCAGCUGCAGGAUAAUCCUACAAAAUCCAGCAAGCCGCACAGAAGGGACUGAAGAAGCAGGAAAAGUGGGAACGCGGAAGGGCAAGAAUCCAGCCAGACCCGCUGAGGAACUCGAAGCGCCACUGGAGGCCACUCGGCUGUGACGCAAGUGGACUGGCCUGCGGCUUCGUCUGCCCGUCCCCGCCUCGAGUUGCUGACCUAUUCCUCUUUUUCUCACUCCAACCAAAAUGUUUAAUGAUGAUUUUUUAUUGGGGUACAAUCAACAUCUGAAAAGCUGUCCAUGUUUAACGGGUGCCUCUCAACUAGCUUGGGGAUGAUUAUACACCGUGAGCUAAAUUGUCACCCCCAAGGCCAGGGAUCAUCUGGUCUACCAUCCCGUUUCCGCCUGCUCCUGCCCCUUCGUUGUUAUUGUUAUUGUUAGCAUCAUCUUUGGGGGAAGAAUAAAACCUACUGCAGGACAA